rnacentral:rRNA from 1 species
UACGGAGGGGGCUAGCGUUGUUCGGAAUUACUGGGCGUAAAGCGCACGUAGGCGGCUUUGUAAGUUAGAGGUGAAAGCCCGGGGCUCAACUCCGGAACUGCCUUUAAGACUGCAUCGCUAGAAUUGUGGAGAGGUAAGUGGAAUUCCGAGUGUAGAGGUGAAAUUCGUAGAUAUUCGGAAGAACACCGGUGGCGAAGGCGACUUACUGGACACAUAUUGACGCUGAGGUGCGAAAGCGUGGGGAGCAAACAGG